GAUGAACGCUAGCGGCAGGCUUAAUACAUGCAAGUCGAGGGACAGCACAGGUAGCAAUACUGGGUGGUAACCGGCAAACGGGUGCGGAACACGUACACAACCUACCUUUAAGUGGGGGAUAGCCCAGAGAAAUUUGGAUUAAUACCCCGUAAUAUAGUUGAAUGGCAUCAUUUGAUUAUUAUAGCUACGGCGCUUAAUGAUGGGUGUGCGGCUGAUUAGAUAGUUGGCGGGGUAACGGCCCACCAAGUCUACGAAAAGUAGCUGAUGUGAGAGCAGUAUCAGCCACACGGGCACUGAGGCACGGGCCCGACUCCUACGGGAGGCAGCAGUAAGGAAUAGUGGUCAAUGGACGCAAGUCUGAACCAGCCAUGCCGCGUGAAGGAUUAAGGUCCUCUGUAUUGUAAACUUCUUUUAUUUGGGACGAAAAAGGGCCUUUCUAGGUCAACUGACGGUACCAGAUGAAUAAGCACCGGCUAACUCCGUGCCAGCAGCCGCCGUAAGAC
rnacentral:rRNA from 1 species